rnacentral:rRNA from 1 species
CCUACGGGUGGCAGCAGUGGGGAAUAUUGGGCAAUGGGCGCAAGCCUGACCCAGCAACGCCGCGUGAAGGAAGAAGGCUUUCGGGUUGUAAACUUCUUUUCUCAGGGACGAAGAAAGUGACGGUACCUGAGGAAUAAGCCACGGCUAACUACGUGCCAGCAGCCGCGGUAAUACGUAGGUGGCAAGCGUUAUCCGGAUUUAAUGGGUGUAAAGGGCGUGUAGGCGGGAAAGCAAGUCAGAUGUGAAAACCAUGGGCUCAACCUGUGGCCUGCAUUUGAAACUGUUUUUCUUGAGUACUGGGGAGGCAGACGGAAUUCCUAGUGUAGCGGUGAAAUGCGUAGAUAUUAGGAGGAACACCAGUGGCGAAGGCGGUCUGCUGGACAGCAACUGACGCUGAGGCGCGAAAGCGUGGGGAGCAAACAGGAUUAGAUACCCUUGUAGUC